GGAGAGGUAGCUCAGAGGUUAAGAGCACUGGCUGCUCUUCCAGAGGACUAGGGUUCAACUCCCAGCACCUCCA
rnacentral:tRNA from 1 species